GACGAGGGAUCCUAGCGUUGUUCGGAAUCAUUGGGCGUAAAGAGUAUGUAGGCGGCUUUGUAAGUCAGUUGUGAAAUCCCCGGGCUUAACCCGGGAAGUGCAAUUGAUACUGCUUAGCUUGAGUAUGGGAGAGGGUAGUAGAAUUCCUGGUGUAGUGGUGAAAUACGUAGAUAUCAGGAGGAAUACCGGUGGCUAAGGCGGCUACCUGGCCCUAUACUGACGCUGAGAUACGAAAGCGUGGGGAUCAAACAGG
rnacentral:rRNA from 1 species